GGGACUUGAAGGAGGUUUGACAUGAGAACCUGCAUUUAAAACCACAGAUUGGGCUCUGCUUGCUGGACCCCAGUGGUUGGACUGAGUCCCAUGAAGCCAGAUCACUUCUGACUGCAAGGAGCUUGGAAAAGCAAGUAUCUGGAUCUUUUACCAGCUAAAUUUGGAGCGAUGAGGCUUCCUCUUUGAAGAUCACAGGUGAGAAGAUUAGGUGCUUUCUCAGAAGCCCAGCAACCUGAUGGGAGUGUGGAGUGAGCAAGACCCAAAUCGGAGCUUCAUCCCUGCAUGGUUCAUUUUGCUUAUUUGGCAAACUUGCCCUGCAGGUGAAAACAUUGGAAUCUUGUGAACCUCAACCUGUGUUUUACAUAUGUAUACAUGAAGCAUCCAAUGGCAUUACACCUCAGCCAGAGAAGAAGCUCUUAAGAGAUCAGGUGCCUCAUUUCACCCAUGGGCUGCUCCAGCAUUUCCAGCCUCCUCACUCCUGACACAUACAGAUUGAGAAAUUAAGGUCGCAUCAUAUAAGUGAAGUUGAACACUACUUUUCUAAUACCCUACAUCAGGUACGUUCCUAAAUAAACUGGAACUUACCUCAGAAGCCUCAGAAAAUUAGGAAAAUAAAAUGCAUUACUUUGUAUAUUAAGAAGCUCAAAAUCCCAUAUUUGAUUCACUAUAGAAUUACUUCAGAAUCUCAUAUGUUGUUUAAGCAAAACCUGUCUCAUAUUAAAACAUACCUACUGCUGUGUUGUCUAUUUGCUUUUCUCUUUUUAAAUGCCCUUUUGAGAAAUGCUGCAAAAAUUUUGUCCUGACAUGUGGGGGCCCAACUGUUUCCUGCUAUACUCAGCUUGGAGGACAUAGCCUCUAGGUUAUACUCUUUUGAAAUUGUCCUGUUGAAAUGCAUGUUUUGAUUUUGGGAUUUUCCAGAUGCUUCCUAAGUAGGUCCCAUGUGUUAAAACUUGUGGAAAUUCAGCAUGUUUCUCAAUGUGAGGCAUCUAAGUAGUUCACAAAUUUAAGGCAAUUAGUCUAUUACUGGGAUAAGACGAUUAAUUCUAUUAUAUUCCAUUGUUUACAUAUUACUUGUUUAAUCCAUUUCCUAUUCUAUGCUUUGUUUUUUCAUUUGUCUGAAUUAUUAAAAGUCACUA
ensembl:lncRNA LINC01091 long intergenic non-protein coding RNA 1091